rnacentral:lncRNA from 1 species
AUUGAGUGGUAUCCUGGGAAAAAUGUGACACAGAAGAUUCUAAAGAAGAAACCCAAGAAAGGUUCAAAGAACACCAAGCCUAUUACUAAAACUGAAGAGUGCGAGAGCUUCUUCAACUUUUUCAGCCCCCCACAAGUACCUGAUGAUGAUGAGGACAUUGAUGAAGAAGCCGUAUGUUCAAGAUUUAUUGUUUGAUUCACAGAGAGCACACUAUGCUUUGUUCACAAUUCAUACUAAACUUAUUCUUCCAAUCUGUGAUGUAGGCUGAUGAGCUUCAGGGUCAAAUGGAGCAUGAUUAUGACAUUGGGUAAGUGCUGUUCAUCAUCUGCUGAAUUUUUUAAAUGGGAACCAGAGAUCCUUGCCCUGCAUAUAAUUCCAUUCCAUUUCUGCACAUUGAGCUGUAUAUUAUGGCCUAGCAUAGUGCCCCUCUUGCUGAUUUCGUGCUGCUGUUGGAAUUUGACUUGUAGGUCUACCAUAAGGGACAAGAUCAUCCCUCAUGCUGUUUCUUGGUUUACUGGUGAGGCUGUGCAAGCUGAGGAUUUUGAUGAUAUGGAAGAUGGUGACGAGGAUGACGACGAUGAGGAUGAUGAUGAUGAAGAAGAUGACGAGGAGGAUGAGGACGAGGACGAAGACGAUGAUGAAGACGAGGAAGAGCUAAGCAAGCCAACGAAGAAGGUAAUCUUAUCUUGCAGCCAUAGAAGUACCUAUCUCUGCUCUCUGCAACAUCACUCUGUUCAACUGGCCUUG